GACGAACGCUGGCGGCGUGCUUAACACAUGCAAGUCGAACGAUGAAGCCGGAGCAUGCUCCGGUGGAUUAGUGGCGAACGGGUGAGUAACACGUGAGCAAUCUGCCCUUGACUCUGGGAUAACUGCGGGAAACUGUAGCUAAUACCGGAUACGACACCUUGGGGCAUCCCAGGGUGUGGAAAGAAUUUCGGUCAAGGAUGAGCUCGCGGCCUAUCAGCUAGUUGGUGAGGUAAUGGCUCACCAAGGCGACGACGGGUAGCCGUCCUGAGAGGGUGACCGGCCACACUGGAACUGAGACACGGUCCAGACUCCUACGGGAGGCAGCAGUGGGGAAUAUUGCACAAUGGGCGAAAGCCUGAUGCAGCAACGCCGCGUGAGGGAUGAAGGCCUUCGGGUUGUAAACCUCUUUUAGCAGGGAAGAAGCGAAAGUGACGGUACCUGCAGAAAAAGCACCGGCUAACUACGUGCCAGCCGCCGCAGUAA
rnacentral:rRNA from 1 species